rfam:Xenopus tropicalis strain Nigerian Chr06_contig_2718, whole genome shotgun sequence.
GUUUAUUGAUGACUAUCCAUGCUAAUACUGAGACGUCAGGAGUAAGAAUUCUUCUGGAUGUAAAUGACUAGUUUUACUAGAACUGAAAGCA